AGGUGCAUAGCUUAGUUGGUAAAGCGUUAGACUUUUAAUCUUUUGACCUUGGGUUCGAAUCCCAAUGCACCUA
rnacentral:tRNA from 1 species